UAUUUAGGAAUACAAAGCACUAUCUCUCUUUCUCUCUCUCUCUCUCUCUCACACACACACACACACACUCACCACCAAAUCUCACCUCACCUCAGGCACUUACCACCGGGAAACAUUCGACGUCACACAUUGCCACCGUCACAAAUCGCCACCGUUGCAAAUCACCACUGCCACUGCCGCAAUACCAGGUUGAGAGCUCUGUUUCUGCUCCUAUGGAUGGACAAAACACCCGUGGUCUAACAAUGGUCCAAGCACCCUUCGAUAUGCUCUGGCAUCUAUCCCAUUUUCACACCAAACUAUGAGUGUUCAAGUUCAUGGAGCAUCUAGAAAAAAAUGAGAAACAAAUAGAUCAGAGGAGCAAGGUCAAGUUUAAAUUCAUGAGUUUGAAAGUGAAAAAAGGGAUGGAUUAUGUAUCUGAAUUGUUAGUGUUGAUUUGUUUGGCUAAAUGACGUGGAAAUGCUCCGUACAUGGAUCAAGUGGACCUUGCCAAUAGCUUAGACCAAUAGCUUGGACCAAUAGCUCGGAUAAACGGUUGUGCUUGGGUGAGGUGGGUGAGGCCGGUCACUGGUCAUGUAUUGAGUAGGACCAGGUAUUUGGUCUGGAUAAAUUGUCAUAUGUUGAGUUAGUCUAUUUGUGCAAUUGGGUAAUUUCUUGAUUAUCGAAUCGAAUCAAUUGUGUAAUUGUUAGAUCCCUGUUGAUUUAUUUUCUGUCUGAGCCUUGUUAUUCCUACUGUAUUGUAUAUUUCCCGAAUUAAUUUAUUUUUCAGGUGCGGAGGAAUUUAGUGGAGAUCGGAUUUAAAGUUCUAAAGAUAUUAUUUGAGUUGGAGAUUUGUGGGCCCACAACUAUAUAUUAUUUUUGGAGAUUUAUAUAAUUUAUAUUUUGGAGACAUUUGUGUUAAUUAUUUAUAGAGACGAUUUGUAUAUUUGAGAUUAUAAGUUAUCUGCAAUUAUAAAUUUGAGGUUGAUUUGAUUUAUUAACGGCCCGGAAAUUGGGGCGUUACAUAAUCUGCUUGGGAGUCUGCUCGUUUUGUGAAGUUAACCGAAGAAAUUCCUCCAUGUUA